UACGUAGGGACCGAGCGUUGUCCGGAAUCAUUGGGCGUAAAGAGCGUGUAGGCGGCCAAACAGGUCCGUUGUGAAAACUGGAGGCUCAACCUCCAGACGUCGACGGAAACCGUGUGGCUAGAGUCCGGAAGAGGAGAGUGGAAUUCCUGGUGUAGCGGUGAAAUGCGCAGAUAUCAGGAAGAACACCAAUGGCGAAGGCAGCUCUCUGGGACGGUACUGACGCUGAGACGCGAAAGCGUGGGGAGCGAACAGG
rnacentral:rRNA from 1 species